CGGACGGGUGAGUAAUGUCUGGGAAACUGCCCGAUGGAGGGGGGUAACUACUGGAAACGGUAGCUAAUACCGCAUAACGUCGCAAGACCAAAGAGGGGACCUUCGGGCCUCUUGCCAUCGGAUGUGCCCAGAUGGGAUUAGCUAGUAGGUGGGGUAACGGCUCACCUAGGCGACGAUCCCUGGCUGGUCUGAGAGGAUGACCAGCCACACUGGAACUGAGACACGGUCCAG
rnacentral:rRNA from 1 species